AUUCCAGCUCCAAUAGUGUAUUUUAAUGUUGUUGCAGUUAAAAAGCUCGUAGUUGAAUUUCUGAUCUUUGGAAACCUCGGUGAAAGAAGAUCAUCCGUCUGGGAACUAUUUAAGAGAUUCAACCCUCUGGAUAGCAAACAGGCAUUUUACCAUGAAUAAAUUAGAGUGUUUCAAGCAAGCGUUCGCUUGAAUAUUUCAGCAUGGAAUAAUAGAACAGGACAGAAUUCUUUUUAUUGGUUAUUGAAUUUUGUAAUGAUUAAAAGAAACAGUUGGGGGUAUUUGUACUUGAUAGUCAGAGGUAAAAUUCUUAGAUUUAUCAAAGACAAACUAAUGCGAAAGCAUUUGCCAAGGAUGUUUUCAUUG
rnacentral:rRNA from 1 species